rnacentral:lncRNA from 1 species
GGAUUUUUGAGUAGACAGUGACAUGAUCUGACUACUGUGUUGAGUAGAGACUUCAGGGAGUCACAAACAGAAGUAAGAAGAUGAACAAGUAAGCCACUGUUGUCAUAGUCCAAGCAAAGAAUGAAGUGUGGAAUCAGGAUUUAAAAAACUGUACUUGGAGACCUAUUUCAGAACUGCCCUGAGCUCAGGAGAAUUGCAAAUCCUCAAGGAUCACCAAACUCUCUGGUAGAAAACAAGUCCCAGUUGCAGAAGAGUUCUACCUUAGGUGACCAAAUGACCAACAUGAUGAACUAUUAAGUCAAAGGAUCCACACAGGGAUGCUGGAAGUGCUGCUUUUGCAUCUGAAAGAUGUUCUUCAGGGACAAAAAUACUGUAUUCCCCAGGGUCUUUCCAUGCUAAUGAGGCUAAUGUCAUAAGGUUUGAAAUCCAGGUCAUGGGAUCCCAUCCCCAGGGAAGCCUCCAGAUUCCACUUGGAGAAAACACGCCUGGUGCAAAAUGCAAGGACAAGUGAAGGACAAACACAGAUCUAAUGACCUCUUCAGGCACCAGGGUCAAAGCCAAAAUAUGGCAUGGCCAUAAUGCGUAGAGAAUACCUAUAAUAAUGUAAACACAGAGAACAAGGAACAAUGCUGGUUUUCCCGGGCACAACUCAACAAGUCACUUAAAUUCUCUGAGUUUCAGUUGCUCAUCUGCAGAGUGAGAUGACAGCAUGCAGUGACUAUGGCACGGCAUUGUGGAGGUCAUAUCCUUGGAGACUGAACUAACACACAGGGAAGGAGACUGAAACUGCCUUUGCAAAAUUAUAACUCAGGCAAUUGUGUCAGUGAAAGAAAUCAGACCUAACCGACUCCAUCUUGCUUCUAACCUUUAGCUGUCCUUGUUCAUUCCUGGGCAUAGGCCGAACUAACUUUGGGAGGGAAUUCAGUUCAUGGUUUUGACUCUGAAACAAAAUUGAUAAUAGCCCUUUCCUGAAAAGAUCUCCUUCUUCCCUGGGAACCAGUUUGUCUUUGCAGGACUAACAAAUUAGCUACAGAUGAGAUAUUACAGUUCACUGGUCAUGCAGCCUCUGGCUCCUAGAGUCUGAACCUCUCCAAAUUGCUCCUGAGAAUAACAUCACUUAUUGUAAAACCUAAGAUCGGUGCUUGAGAUAUUUUACAGACCCUACACUCGAUGGAUCAGCUGACACCACCCAGACCAGUAAUCUGGCUCAACCAGUUCUGCCAAACCACCCAGGAACAGACGACAACAAGAAAAACUCACUUCGACCCCCCUAUGAUUCUACUUCCAACCUGACCAAUCAGCACUCCCCACUUCCCAAGCCCCUACCUGCCAAAUUAUCUUUAAAAACUCCAAUCCCUGAAUGCCUG